rnacentral:rRNA from 1 species
ACUCCUGCGGGAGGCAGCAGUGGGGAAUUUUGGACAAUGGGCGAAAGCCUGAUCCAGCAAUGCCGCGUGCAGGAUGAAUGCCUUCGGGUUGUAAACUGCUUUUGUACGGAACGAAAAAGCUCCUUCUAAUACAGGGGGCCCAUGACGGUACCGUAAGAAUAAGCACCGGCUAACUACGUGCCAGCAGCCGCGGUAAUACGUAGGGUGCGAGCGUUAAUCGGAAUUACUGGGCGUAAAGCGUGCGCAGGCGGUUAGGUAAGACAGAUGUGAAAUCCCCGGGCUCAACCUGGGAACUGCAUUUGUGACUGCAUGGCUAGAGUACGGUAGAGGGGGAUGGAAUUCCGCGUGUAGCAGUGAAAUGCGUAGAUAUGCGGAGGAACACCGAUGGCGAAGGCAAUCCCCUGGACCUGUACUGACGCUCAUGCACGAAAGCGUGGGGAGCAAACAGGAUUAGAUACCCUGGUAGUCCCAUGA